GCACCUGCAGCAUAUGGAAGUUCCCAGGCUAGGGGUCCGAUCAGAGCUAUAGCCACUGGCCUACACCACAUCUCAUGGCAACGCUGGAUCCUUAGCCCACUGAGUGAGGUCAGGGAUCGAACCCAUGUCCUCACGGACUCUAGUUGGGGAAAGGCAUUAUUCCAUGUCCUGAUAAAAAUGGUAAAUCCUCAACCCUAAGGACUCUAGAAACUACUAAAAGGAUAAAAUAUGCUUACAAAUAAUGACAAGAGAAGGCCUCAUAGAAUUAACACUAUGACAGAAGUAUAGUCACAAUGCUUUGGCAAAUACAGCAGGCAGCAUCGGCUAGGUGUCCAACAGCUUUCCUCCGCACCCAGUCCUUGUUGGCGGAGCUGGAAUUAAUCCCAGCAUCUGGCCUUUCACAAACUCAGGAGAGAGGAGUGCCCUUCUCUGUCGCAGGGAAGGAAUGUUCCCUCCUCCAAUUAUGGCAUCAAUUACCACGUACCGUAUCCAUACCAAGUGUGGCAUCCAUUUCCCUUGCUGGUGGUUGGUUUAGGGAUGGGCUGUGAUGGAACCUCAACUAUGAAUGAGGUGAAAAGGGAAGUCUACUAGGAGAGGAGGAGCUUCUGCGGAGAAGAAUUAUGCUCUAAUUAAAAAAAAUAUAUAUAUAUAUAUGGAAGAAGUGCUAUUUGGGUCUUUGGAUCUAUUUGUUGGAAGAAAUGAUGCCUGUAGUUGUAUCUACUAUCUUGUGACCAGGAGGGGCAAGUGGACAGAUGGAUAGUCCCUAUGUCCUUGGUGACAUCCCUGCGCCCCUGAAAUAACCAACCUUGGAAUCAUCUACCUCUAGUUGAAUGAUACACUGUUAUUUCCGUGCUCGUGUUUUUCAAUUAUACGUCAUAACUGAUUAGUGGGUCAUGACAUCCAUAUCAGGACUCCUAUCACUUUUGUCAUGCCAGAAAGUUUCUCUUCCAACAACGUAAAGCUUAUAUGGCCAGGACUAAGGAGAAUUAUUUUGUCAAUGGCUUUCCUUCAAAAAAAAAAUCCAAUAGAAAGAUAGAUAGAAAUAUAUAUCCUGGUGUAUUCGCCAAAAUAUACACCUCCCCCACGAUUUGCCUCCCACGAGCUCAUGAAAAUAUUGCCAUUGUGUUUACUCUUACUGAGAAACAGGGUAAGGGUAUAAGAAAUGACGUUACUUGGAGACUGUGUGAUAUUGGGGAGAACACAAACUUUGGAGUCAGACUGGAGUCGCUUUCAAUUUUUCGGAUGUAAGAGAAUUCUCUAUUUGGAAAAGUCAUUGAACAAAGUAAUUCUUUUAUAAUAAUUCAAACAGCAUACACACAAACAUAGGUAUAUAUUCAAAUCACAUCUUGAAUUACGGGGGGAAAGUCAGGCUUUGGACUCUGAAGACUGCUCGCUAUAGAAUGAGAUGUCCUGCAUAAGUUAACUUUAUGGGAAACUGAAACUUGUGUAUUAAAUGCACAAACAUUUAUUCUGGAAGUUCCACAGUCACCUUGAGACUCUCUUACUUGUGUAUUAAAUGCACAAACAUGUUUUAACAUAAUCGCUUUCCAUGUAGUCGUCUGUAAUGGACAUGUAUAUUAAUCACAACAUAGCAUCUAUCUCAUGGCCCAGAAUGAGACUUGGGAACAUCCGCCAGUGAAGUGUGUGGUCUUGGAAAUUCAGAGGUAAUAGUGUUCUUAUGACUGUUGCACACAGCCCUCCAUUACUUUGUCAUUCUAACUAUUCCUUUCUGCGCCUGGCUAUCCCUUCUUCUUUUUCGCUAAUGUAUAUUUACAUCUUCUAAUACAUAGCUUACUUUGUAUACAUACUCUUCCUAACAAAAUAAAGUAUGCUGACCUUUGGAUUGUUAUUCCAGAAGUUCCACAGUCACUUUGAGACUAUUUUAUUUCCUGAUGCCAUAACUGUGGCAGAUGGCGGCAACUGACAAAAUUCUGACACGUAGUGUAACACGACUGAUGUAAAGUGAAUAAAACAGAGGGUUUCUAAUUCAUUAAAACUCAGGUUGAGUCAGCUGCCCAAUGUUGUAUGUUUUGGAAUCAAAUUCAGAAGAAAAUUACUAGAAACGAAUGAUCAAGACUCAAAUUGCAGGCUGAAAUAAAUAGCAAUGCUGACCAUAAAUGCACUAAUAAACCAAAAUUUAUACAUAAAGAAUUCUUAAAUCAGUAAAAAAGCAAAAGUAUAUUAUUGACAAAGCUGUGCCAUGUUUUUGAAAUUAAGCUGAAAGAUACAGACGAAGUUAAGCAGACCACCUCAAGGAAAUUCUCAUCUCACCGUAACUACUCCCAUGUCACUAAUACACUUGAAACCUGCCUUCCUGUCAUUCACUACUUGCUGGUGAGGGCUUCAAAGUGUAUCAUUUUUUCCCAGGGUGCAAAUACAUGUCUAAGAAUUACCUCUAGAGAGUCAUCAAAAUGCACAGAAAGAUACAUUCAAAGAUAUUGAUUAUAGCAUUAUGCACACCAGUGAGAAAUUGGACCUCACUUAAAUUUUUCCAUUAUGUAUCUGAAGGAAUUCUAUGAUAAAAAGUAUGCUCUAGAGGAAAAUUCAUUAGUGGAGAACAUGUGACAAAGUAAAAUUUAAGACCAAGACUGUAUAUCAUAUGUGACUAUCACACAUGACCAUAACAUUAAAAUAAUUUAAACACACACGCCCACACAAAUGUGUAUUAGAAAAAAAUGUAGGAGGAAGGUACACCCGUUUGUAUGAAGAUCUAAUUUUUCUACCAAAAACAAAUUACUUCUGUAAUCAGGAACAAAUUGCAUUUUUUUAAAACUUUGUUUUCCCUUUCUUCUCUUUUAAUCCAGGCACGUUUCUUUCCUUCUGUUGCCUUUGAUGUGAGUUUUGCAUCUUGAUGAGUCCCCUUCAGGUAAAUUCCGAGCAGAAAUGUAUUUGGUUUUUGAGAGAAAUAUUUUGACCAAAGAAGGGUGAAGGCUUUAGCAGGAACAAAAAGGAAUGAUACAAUCAAACAGCAAAGAACAUAAGAGCAUUAUAAGGUUAAGGAAGAAGAAUUGGAAACACAAAAUAAAACAGAAAUAACCAACAAGGCAGCUCCUGCUGAAAUUCUGUUGAGAGUUAACUGGAUUCAGAGUAGGCAGGUCAAAGGAAAAACACAAUGUCUAAGCCCUAAACCCUUAAAGAGCUGGAGCCUUGUGGUGACUUUUCACAUUAAAUGCAUUCUCCUGUGAUUAAAAUAAUGCCUGGACUAUUAUUGACUUAAAACUCACGAAUUAUCUAAUUUUACUCUUGGGCUUCAAUUGGCCAUAAUGUACAUUUUUUCCCUGCCAUGUGUAAUUACAUUGGGUCUAAACCAUCUGAACAGCUCGACCUCAAGCAAUAACAACUCGAAAUAACGAGACGAUGCUCACAGUUCACUCGUUAGGAAGGACAAAGGAAAAAUGCAAUCUAAUCAGCUAAUUUCCAGGCUCUAUUUUCCUAACUACCUCUCUUGAGAGCAUGCGUUGAGGAUGGGAAUCAAAGGAUUCCCUGGAAGUAAUCUUGACUUUGGUAGAGACAGUAAUAGUUGUCCCAUUUUCCAACUGCAAAUUUAGAUAUGUAGGGUAAUAACAGAAUGGAAUAUCUGAAAUCAGAGAUAGGCACUGACCGGCAAUGAUGCUCGAUACUUGCGCGGUUCAGUAUGCGUCCUCAUGUGGCUACUCAAAUUUUUAAAAAUUAAAAUGAACCAAAAUUUAAAAUUCAGUUCAUCAGUCACACUAGACACAUUUUAAGUGCUCAAAGGCCACAUGGGGCUGGUGGACAGCACAAACACACAACAUCGCUACCACCGCCGAGUUUUAGUAGACAGCGCUGCUCUAUGCACUACUUCCGGACGUAGAAAAACAACUCCUAGGAAUUCCAAGAUUUCAAACUAAAGAUGAAACAAGGCUGAAGCAAAACAGAUACGCUGCUUAAAAGUGAACCUCUCAAUUCUCCAUUAUAAGGCAUUUUCCAAGCAUUCCAGGAAUCAUGAUCUUGUAUGGAAAUUUUCUAAGAAUGCAGAAGUGCCUUUCUUUUCAUCAGAUCAAAUCACACACACCAAAGGGUUUCCCCUCUAGUUUUCCUUCUGUUUUGUUUUGGUUUUGGCCAUG
rnacentral:lncRNA from 1 species